GGUUCUAUGGUGUAAUGGUUAGCACUCUGGACUCUGAAUCCAGCGAUCCGAGCUAAAAUCUCGGUAGGACCU
rnacentral:tRNA from 1 species